rnacentral:snoRNA from 1 species
AGCUUCCUGGUGCUUACUAUAGGCUGUGUUCUUAGACUGACCCUACAGGAAGAGGAGAGAAGGUAAACCCACCCCAUGAACACCUCAGCCCAGGCCUUGUGCCUGGUCUGUAUUGUGAAUAAGGUGUGAGAA